UGGGGAAUCUUCCGCAAUGGACGAAAGUCUGACGGAGCAACGCCGCGUGAGUGAAGAAGGCCUUCGGGUUGUAAAGCUCUGUUAUUAGGGACGAACGUAUCCUAUAUGAAUAAUGUGGGAUAGUGACGGUACCUAAGGAGGAAGCCAUGGCUAACUACGUGCCAGCAGCCGCGGUAAUACGUAGGUGGCAAGCGUUGUCCGGAAUUAUUGGGCGUAAAGCGCGGGCAGGGGGGAUCAUAAGUCUUAUGUAAAAGUGCGGGGCUCAACCCCGUAGCGCGUGAGAAACUGUGAUUCUUGAGUGCCGGAGAGGAAAGCGGAAUUCCCAGUGUAGCGGUGAAAUGCGUAGAUAUUGGGAGGAACACCAGUGGCGAAGGCGGCUUUCUGGACGGUGUCUGACACUGAGGCGCGAAAGCCAGGGGAGCGAACG
rnacentral:rRNA from 1 species